rnacentral:rRNA from 1 species
GGUUCGAUCCUGGCUCAGAUGGAACGCUGGCGGGAUGCUUUACACAUGCAAGUCGAACGGCAGCACGGACUUCGGUCUGGUGGCGAGUGGCGAACGGGUGAGUAAUGUAUCGGAACGUGCCUAGUAGCGGGGGAUAACUACGCGAAAGCGUAGCUAAUACCGCAUACGCCCUUCGGGGGAAAGCGGGGGACCUUCGGGCCUCGCACUAUUAGAGCGGCCGAUAUCGGAUUAGCUAGUUGGUGGGGUAACGGCUCACCAAGGCGACGAUCCGUAGCCGGUUUGAGAGGACGACCAGCCACACUGGGAUCGAGACAUGGCCCAGACUCCUACGGGAGGCAGCAGUGGGGAAUUUUGGACAAUGGGGAAACCCUGAUCCAGCCAUCCCGCGUGUGCGCGAUGAAGGCCUUCGGGUUGUAAAGCACUUUUUGGCAGGAAAGAAACGGCACGGGAUAAUACCCCGUGCAACUGACGGUACCUGCAGAAUAAGCACCGGCUAACUACGUGCCAGCAGCCGCGGUAAUACGUAGGGUGCAAGCGUUAAUCGGAAUUACUGGGCGUAAAGCGUGCGCAGGCGGUUCGGAAAGAAAGAUGAAUCCCAGAGCUUAACUUUGGAACUGCAUUUUUAACUACCGAGCUAGAGUGUGUCAGAGGGAGGUGGAAUUCCGCGUGUAGCAGUGAAAUGCGUAGAUAUGCGGAGGAACACCGAUGGCGAAGGCAGCCUCCUGGGAUAACACUGACGUCAUGCACGAAAGCGUGGGGGAGCAAACAGGGAUUAGAUACUCCUGGUAGUCCACGCCCUAAACGAUGUCAACUAGCUGUUGGGGCCUUCGGGCCUUGGUAGCGCAGCGCCAAUUCGCGCGGUUGACCGCCUGGGGAGUACGGUCGCAAGAUUAAAACUCAAAGGAAUUGACGGACCCGCACAAGCGGUGGAUGAUGUGGAUUAAUUCGAUGCAACGCGAAAAACCUUACCUACCCUUGACAUGUUGGAAUCCCGAAGAGAUUUGGGAGUGCUCGCAAGAGAACCGGAACACAGGUGCUGCAUGGCUGUCGUCAGCUCGUGUCGUGAGAUGUUGGGUUAAGUCCCGCAACGAGCGCAACCCUGUCAUUAGUUGCUACGAAAGGGCACUCUAAUGAGACUGCCGGUGACAAAACCGGAGGAAGGUGGGGAUGACGUCAAGUCCUCAUGGCCCUUAUGGGUAGGGCUUCACACGUCAUACAAUGGUCGGGACAGAGGGUCGCCAACCCGCGAGGGGGAGCUAAUCCCAGAAACCCGAUCAGUCCGGAUCGCAGUCUGCAACUCGACUGCGUGAAGUCGGAAUCGCCAGUAAUCGCGGAUCAGCAUGUCGCGUGAAUACGUUCCCGCCCUGCACACACCGCCCGUCACACCAUGGGAGUGGGUUUUACCAGAAGUAGUUAGCCUAACCGUAAGGGGAGGGCGAUUACCACGGUAGGAUUCAUGACUGGGGUGAAGUCGUAACAAGGUAG